GAAUUGGUAGCUCAGUUGGUAGAGCAAUACACUUUUAAUGUAUGGGCCCUGGGUUCGAGUCCCAGCCAGUUCACAA
rnacentral:tRNA from 2 species